UGCGUAGGCGGCUUUGCAAGUCAGAUGUGAAAUCUAUGGGCUCAACCCAUAAACUGCAUUUGAAACUGUAGAGCUUGAGUGAAGUAGAGGCAGGCGGAAUUCCCCGUGUAGCGGUGAAAUGCGUAGAGAUGGGGAGGGAACACCAGUGGCGAAGGCGGCCUGCUGGGCUUUAACUGACGCUGAGGCAGAAAGCGUGGGUAGCAAACA
rnacentral:rRNA from 1 species